UACAGAGGGGGCAAGCGUUGUUCGGAAUUACUGGGCGUAAAGGGCGCGUAGGUGGCCUUCUAAGUUGAACGUGAAAUCCCUGGGCUCAACCCAGGAACUGCGUCCAAGACUGGGAGGCUUGAAUCCGGGAGAGGGAUGCGGAAUUCCAGGUGUAGCGGUGAAAUGCGUAGAUAUCGGGAGGAAUACCAGUGGCGAAGGCGGCGACCUGGGCCAAUACUGACGCUGAGGUGCGAAAGCGUGGGGAGCAAACAGG
rnacentral:rRNA from 1 species